rnacentral:rRNA from 1 species
AAAAAUUGUCUACGGCCAUGAAUGUGCUCGAUCUGGUCUGAUCUCAGAAGCUAAGCAGGGUUGGGCCUGGUUAAUACUUGAAUGGGAGACCACCUAGGAAUACCAGGUGCUAUAGGUA